UAAAGGCAUUCACAAAAAGUCCAAAAAGGGACACGUGUCGCCUUUGAAAAUUUGUCAAGUUCAGGCAGCACGCGACCUGGAAAUUCGAUAAAAACUGAACGACACCCACACCCAAAGAUUGUGUUGUUGCUCUGGUGACCCGACUUUUCCAGGAAGGGAACUAAAUUAAUUGCCACGCCGGGCGGCUGACUUUCGGAGACAAGAUCAUAAAACAAACUCUCAUCAUCAAGUGAGGGCGUCAUAAAAAUCAGGAGGAAUACAAAUUAUAAAUUAUCACCCUGCCGUCAGCGGGUGGAUUGUGAAACUGUGCACUACUAUCGCUAUCGAAGAACAGGGCGCCCGAACCACCGCAAAAACCUCGCACAAAACCCGCUUGAGGUCCUUCCGGUUCCUGAUUUUUUGGUUCUCAGGCCACCCCCCACAGUUUUAUGCGGUAGUUGCAAUUUGGUCCAAUUGGUGGUCAAAAUGACGCAGCAGUGAGAGGCUCAAAACUAUCAGUCUGUGGCAAAAUGAUUCGAUUCGAUGCUGUUCCAUUCUAACCCCCGCCAAACAGUGGGACAUUUUACUUUGUAAUGUGAAAUCAAUAAGUUGGCCAUUAAAUGCACGCUAGUCACGUAAGGCAAUUGAUAUCAUG
rnacentral:sRNA from 1 species